rnacentral:rRNA from 1 species
CCUACGGGUGGCAGCAGUGAGGAAUAUUGGUCAAUGGACGAGAGUCUGAACCAGCCAAGUAGCGUGAAGGAUGACUGCCCUAUGGGUUGUAAACUUCUUUUAUAUGGGAAUAAAACGUUCCACGUGUGGGAUUUUGUAUGUACCAUAUGAAUAAGGAUCGGCUAACUCCGUGCCAGCAGCCGCGGUAAUACGGAGGAUCCGAGCGUUAUCCGGAUUUAUUGGGUUUAAAGGGAGCGUAGGUGGAUUGUUAAGUCAGUUGUGAAAGUUUGCGGCUCAACCGUAAAAUUGCAGUUGAAACUGGCAGUCUUGAGUACAGUAGAGGUGGGCGGAAUUCGUGGUGUAGCGGUGAAAUGUUUAGAUAUCACGAAGAACUGCGAUUGCGAAGGCAGUUCACUGGACUGCAACUGACACUGAGGCUCGAAAGUGUGGGUAUCAAACAGGAUUAGAUACCCGAGUAGUC